CUCAUCUAAAAACUGCAGGAGACCGACCCUUUGAAGACUGGACUCUGACACCUGUGACUUAUAGCAAAACAUUUUUUACUGAUCUUAGUGAAUUAUUAAUUUAAAACAAGCUCUUACAUCCUGCAAAACAAGUCUGCACCUGCACAGAGUGAACCUUGCAGAGCGACGCGGCAUCAUCCUGACUGCAACGCCCAACCUGGAGUUCGCCUCACUUCCUGCCAGGUGAACUGGUGGAAAUGUACCCGAGGAUCCAGUUGAUUCAUGAAUCCUGAGUCUGAGAAAUGAAUUUCCAGCAUUUCCUCCUGUUUUUUUUGCGUUUACAGUAAAAGAUUCUCAGAAAAACUGGAGUUUUUAAGGUUCUCAAAGGAGCUUAACAGUUACAAUAAACCCAGUAAUUGUUUUCAUCCAUCACUGGUUUCUCUGCACAGUUUUUAUGUCACUAACAGUAAACGGUUUUUUAAAUGAACCAGUUGGACAACCCACUGGACUGGACUGGACAUCAUUUAGUUUAAAACUACAUAGUAUGUCAAAAUGUGUUUUAUGCUUUAUUGUGUUUUUUAUCAUUUAAAUUUAUUUAUUUGUA